GCGAAAACUUUACAAUGCUGGCAACAGCGAUAAGGGAACCUCGAGUGCCAGGUUACAAAUCUGGCUGUCGAGAUGCCUAAAAAGCAUUGCAUAGCAAGGGCCGGGCAAGACCGGUGCCAGCCGCCGCGGUAACACCGGCGGCUCGAGUGGUAACCGUUAUUAUUGGGUCUAAAGGGUCUGUAGCCGGCCGGAUAAGUCUCUUGAGAAAUCUGGCAGCUUAACUGUCAGGCUUUCAGGAGAUACUGUCUGGCUCGAGGCCGGGAGAGGUGAGAGGUACUUCAGGGGUAGGGGUGAAAUCUUGUAAUCCUUGAAGGACGACCAGGGGCGAAGGCGUCUCACCAGAACGGACCUGACGGCAAGGGACGAAAGCUAGGGGCACGAACC
rnacentral:rRNA from 1 species